rnacentral:rRNA from 1 species
UACGGGGGGGGCAAGCGUUGUUCGGAAUUACUGGGCGUAAAGGGCUCGUAGGUGGCCAACUAAGUCGGACGUGAAAUCCCUCAGCUUAACUGGGGAACUGCGUCCGAUACUGGAUGGCUCGAGUUUGGGAGAGGGAUGCGGAAUUCCAGGUGUAGCGGUGAAAUGCGUAGAUAUCUGGAGGAAUACCGGUGGCGAAGGCGGCUACCUGGCCCAACAUUGACACUGAGGCCCAAAAGCGUGGGGAUCAAACAGG